rnacentral:rRNA from 1 species
AGAGUUUGAUCCUGGCUCAGAUUGAACGCUGGCGGCAGGCCUAACACAUGCAAGUCGAGCGGAUGAGUGGAGCUUGCUCCAUGAUUCAGCGGCGGACGGGUGAGUAGUGCCUAGGAAUCUGCCUGGUAGUGGGGGACAACGUUUCGAAAGGAACGCUAAUACCGCAUACGUCCUACGGGAGAAAGUGGGGGAUCUUCGGACCUCACGCUAUCAGAUGAGCCUAGGUCGGAUUAGCUAGUUGGUGAGGUAAAGGCUCACCAAGGCGACGAUCCGUAACUGGUCUGAGAGGAUGAUCAGUCACACUGGAACUGAGACACGGUCCAGACUCCUACGGGAGGCAGCAGUGGGGAAUAUUGGACAAUGGGCGAAAGCCUGAUCCAGCCAUGCCGCGUGUGUGAAG